UACGGAGGGUGCAAGCGUUGUCCGGAAUCAUUGGGCGUAAAGAGUUCGUAGGUGGUAUGUUAAGUCUGGUGUUAAAGGCAGAAGCUCAACUUCUGUAAGGCACUGGAUACUGGCAAACUUGAAUGCGGUAGAGGUAAAGGGAAUUCCUGGUGUAGCGGUGAAAUGCGUAGAUAUCAGGAGGAACAUCGGUGGCGAAAGCGCUUUACUGGACCGUUAUUGACACUGAGGAACGAAAGCCGGGGUAGCAAAUGGG
rnacentral:rRNA from 1 species